rnacentral:rRNA from 1 species
UACGUAGGUGGCGAGCGUUGUCCGGAAUCAUUGGGCGUAAAGCGCGCGUAGGCGGCUUGCCAGGUCUGAUGUGAAAUCUCGGGGCUCAACCCCAAGCGUGCAUCGGAAACCGGCUUGCUAGAGUCUGGGAGAGGAGAGUGGAAUUCCUGGUGUAGCGGUGAAAUGCGUAGAUAUCAGGAGGAACACCAGUUGCGAAGGCGGCUCUCUGGAACAGUACUGACGCUGAGGCGCGAAAGCUAGGGGAGCGAACAGGAUUAGAUACCCUGGUAGUCCUAGCCGUAAACGAUGGACACUAGGUGUCGGGAGUGUCGACUCUCUCGGUGCCGAAGCUAACGCAUUAAGUGUCCCGCCUGGGGAGUACGGCCGCAAGGCUAAA